GUCAUGGACUGUAGCCUCUGCCACAUCACAUGCGGUGGGCGUCGUAGCCUGUUUAAUAUGAUUCCACUUUAUUCCUAUAUUGUUCUUUUGCUCGUUUGACUCUGCGGAGGUCAUAGCUGGCAUUCUUGUACUUAUUCCUGUCUUCGACCGUAGCAUCAAGGUUGUCUAUGAUAGCUUUGUGUGCGGUAGCCCUGCUCUUUAGAUUAGCGCCAACCUCGGUGUUAAUACAGGGUUUUUGAUUGGGGAAGCAGAGAAACCUCACGGCGCAGAAUUUCGUCACAGAGUGUGGGAGUGGUUGUCCCUGGUGCUGAAAAAACUGGCAUGUGCGCGAGGAUUUUACAGCAUCGCCACAUAGCAAAAGCGUGCCAUUGUUAUUAUACCUCAGUGGAGCCGAUCCUGCGACAAACAGAGGACCGUGUCAGCCAAGAACUAUUUCUCAAGACAUAAAAAUGCUGGUGAAAUCAAACAGCGAGUAUGACUCCUUCCUCUACUGGAGACAGCCCAUCUCCGCCCCGGACCUGUCCGAGCUGGAAGACCUGGGUGUGACCAAAAGCAAGCCAACCAAGAAGAGCAAGAAGGCCACCAAGAAACAGAAUGCCGCCCUAGCCAAGCAAAGGAAGCAGCAAGAGGCCGAAUUGUUAGAGUACACCACCUUCAACUACUGGAGAGAGCCUAUCCCCAGCAUCGACCUCCUCGACUUCAACCUGCUUCUGUGAGGACCAUCCCAUCUCAGCCUCCCAGUCAUAAGAACCUCCCUCUCCUCACACUCACCUUAUCUGAAUAACCAUGGCUUUUUGUCAAGUUUCUGGUCCACCCAAGAAGAUGUACUGAAUCUGUAUUAGUCUGUACUGUGUUUUUUUGUGUAUAACCUGUUAAUAAUACUGACAGGAUUAGGGGUAGAUGUUUUAGCUUGCAGAUGACUGGCACUGUGAAUGACAGUAUAGGCACUUCUGCUUAGGUUUACUCCACAUGUGGGCUACAUGACUCAUUUGGCUAAUGUCAACGAACAUAACUAGGUAGAAAUGGCAACAAGGUCAGCCUUUAAAUGAAUAUAAAUAGCUCCAUUGCAUACUGACUGCAAGGCUUCUGUCUCACAUUAAGAACUUACACAUUCAUAAUUUGUGAGGUAACUUGAGUAUGCAACAUCAUAUUUUGAAACACUAACAAAUGCAAAGUGCUGCCUCAUUUGAACUUAGUGAAAAUUCUUUCCCUUGACCUAAUACAUCCUUGAAGGGUAGUGCCAACCUGAGCCUUGGGAGUGUUUGCGUGUAGUAUGUAUAAGUAGGAGAACGUGAAGCAAAGCACCUCCACACAGAACAGAUAUUGUACAAGCACUUAGGGAGCCACAAACAUGACUGUCUUUUGCGCUUUGUAUUGGUUGCCUUGUGAUUUGUUUCAGACACUGAACUGACUGGCUUAUUAAGUAUGCUGCUUUCAGGCUGCCCUGAGUAGGCCUCAUCUGAGUGCAAUGACUGACGGUAAAUGUUAGAUUCCACAAUGCAAGUUGUGCAAAUGCAGAGCUGGCCAACUGUUUUCUUUAUUUUCUGCAUAGACUACUGCACUGUCCUGAUGUUUAGUUUGAAUGUCAAGGAAAGAAUGGAUGGAAAUGUUGAAUGAAAAUAGGGAAAUAAAUGUUUUUAAUUGUCAAGACGGAUGUUGCAAGUGUUCCUGAAAUAUGGUAGUUCUAACUGGAUACUUGUAAUCAUAAAGCUAACUUUUUGUGAGAUUGUACAACGAGCAGUAAAUUCCCAAAUGUGACUCAUCAUACUUUGUCUUGACUUUUCUGAAAUAAAGGAAGAUAUCCUGUGCAUUCAAUCCA